rnacentral:rRNA from 1 species
GUCUAUGGCUAUAUCACCGUGAACAUGUCUGCUAUAGACUGAUGUCUGAUUUCUAAAGCUAAGUCUGGGUGGGGUCUGGUUAGUACUUGGAGAGUGCUUGGGAAUACUAGGUGUUGGAGGCU